rnacentral:rRNA from 1 species
AUUGAACGCUGGCGGCAUGCCUAACACAUGCAAGUCGAACGAGUGGCGGACGGGUGAGUUAUGUCUUGGAAACUGCCUGAUGGAGGGGGAUAACUACUGGAAACGGUAGCUAAUAACGCAUACCAUCAUAUGUGCCCUGAUGGGAUUAGCUUGUGGGUGGGGAAACGGCUCACCAAGGAGACAUUCCCUAGCUGGUCUGAGAGGAUGACCGGCCACCCUGGAACUGGGACACGGUCCGGACUCCUACGGGAGGAAGCAGUGGGGAAAAUGGCACAAUGGGAGAAAGCGUGAUGCAGCCAUGCCGCGUGUAUGAAGAAGGCCUUCGGUUUGUAAAGUGCUUUCAACGGGGAGGCGGUACCCGCAGAAGAAGCACCGGCUAACUCCGUGCCAGCAGCCGCAGUAAUAC